AGUGAACGCUGGCGGUAGGCCUAACACAUGCAAGUCGAACGGCAGCACAGUAAGAGCUUGCUCUUACGGGUGGCGAGUGGCGGACGGGUGAGGAAUACAUCGGAAUCUACUUUUUCGUGGGGGAUAACGUAGGGAAACUUACGCUAAUACCGCAUACGACCUACGGGUGAAAGCAGGGGAUCUUCGGACCUUGCGCGAUUGAAUGAGCCGAUGUCGGAUUAGCUAGUUGGCGGGGUAAAGGCCCACCAAGGCGACGAUCCGUAGCUGGUCUGAGAGGAUGAUCCGCCCCGCUGGGACGGGGGCCCGGUCCAGGCCUCCACGGGGGGCCGCAGUGGGGAAUUUUGGACAAGGGGGGGAAGCCCGACCCCGCCCUCCCGCGUGGGGGAAGAAGGCCCUUGGGUUGGAAAGCCCCUUUGGUUGGAAAAAAAAGCCGCAGGUUAAUCCCCCGGUUUUUUGGCGGUUCCCAAAAAAAAAGCCCCCGCUAAAUUUG
rnacentral:rRNA from 1 species